UCAUCCGAUCGCGCCAGUCUUCCGUUACUCGCCAAGCGCUACAGUUCGUCGUUACGGGAUGCUCAAAGUGUUGUGGCAGGAAUAAAUUUUAAUAAAACAAAACUACGUCGUAGCGUGUUCGCGCGAUCAAUGAGAACAAAGUCCAGAGCGGUUAGUUCCGUUCUCUGAUCUUUGGUAGCGAAAUACAUUUUAAUUUCACGCGACCGGUGUGUUUUCUCGUUCAGUUGAGUCAUAUCACAUAAGCUUCAAAAGCAAGAGUGCUUCGAGAUGCUCCUGAUGAACCUGCGAACCUUAUCAGCUCGUGCACUUCGCGAUCAAACUUUUUGCCGCAUGCUCACAACGCAACCGAAUACGCAACGUCCAGAAUCGCUCAAGCAGCACAGGCAACAGCAGCAACAGCUGCAGCAUGACUUCCCGGCAUACAAAGGUCAAAGUUACGACGAGGUGGUGAAGCUUCGCAAGCAGUAUCUAACGCCGAAUGUGACCUCUUACUACAAGAAACCAUUAUUGAUUUACAAGGGCCGCGGGGCACAGCUUUACGAUCAGGAGAAAAGCUAUUUGGACAUGUUCGGUGGAAUUGUCACCGUUUCGGUCGGUCACUGCCACCCGAAGGUAAAUGCCGCCCUGGAGGAACAGCUGCGUACCCUGUGGCAUACGACAAACAUUUACAUGCAUCCGAAACUUCACGAGUACGCAGAAAAGCUAGUGGCUAAAUUGCCCGGCGAUCUGAAGAAUGUGUACUUCGUCAACUCAGGCUCGGAGGCCAACGAUUUGGCCAUGAUGAUCGCGCGUCUGUAUACAGGCAACCACGACAUCAUUAGCUUCCGGAACGCAUAUCACGGAGCAUCCCCGUAUACGAUGGGUCUAACGGCACACUCUACGUGGCGGUAUCCGCUUCCAGGACUUAACAGUGGCAUCCUGCACGCUAUGAACCCGGAUCCGUACACCGGCAUCUGGGGUGGCAAGCAGUGCCGAGAUUCACCAGUGCAAACUACACGCAACUGUGACUGCCAGGCGAAUGAAUGUAAGGCCGCGGACAAGUACUACGAGCAGUUGGAGCAAAUAUUCAAAUAUUCACUACCACGUGGCAAGGUGGCCGCAAUGUUCGCCGAAUCCAUUCAAGGCGUUGGAGGCACGGUGCAGUUUACGAAGGGAUACAUAAAGCGUGCCGCUGAGCUUGUCCGAGCUAACGGUGGGUUGUUCAUUUCGGAUGAGGUACAGUCCGGAUUCGGUCGUACCGGAGAACACUAUUGGGGCUUCGAAGGGCAUGACAUUGUGCCGGAUAUAGUCACUAUGGCGAAAGGAAUCGGAAAUGGAUUCCCCAUCGGGGCGGUGGUUACUUCGCGUAAAAUCGCGGAGGUCCUUUCGCAGGCCUUACAUUUCAACACUUUCGGCGGCAACCCGCUGGCAUGUGCGGUCGGUAUUGCAGUUCUGGAUGUUAUCGACGAGGAAGAGAUGCAAAAGAACUCACUGGAUGUGGGCACCUACUUGUUGAAGGGAUUGGAAAAACUACGCGACAAGCACGAUGUUAUUGGGGAUGUACGUGGAAAGGGAUUGAUGAUUGGUGUGGAGCUGGUUGCCGAUAAGGAGACACGACAACAUUUGAGUGCACCACAUUUCGUCGACAUAUGGGAGAUGUGCAAAGACAUGGGCGUCCUGUUCGGCCGCGGCGGUUUGAAUGCAAACGUCCUUAGAAUUAAGCCUCCGAUGUGCAUAACUAAAGCUGACGUCGAUUUUUCCUUGCAAGUUCUUGACAUUGCCUUGAGCAAGCACUCAGAAAAAGCACGACAAAAUUGUUAGAAACCUUUCAUUUUGAAGCUCACAAUUUAGGCUGUACCUUAAACGGAGUACCGGAGGCUAUGCGUAAAAGAGCUUGUUGAAAAUCAAAAAUAAAUUAAAAGAUAAUUGUUGCAAUAAUACAACGAUCGCGAAUAUUAAUUUCAUUAAGAUUUUCAUGUAACGAUCAUAUCCAUCUGUAAAAACAUAAUAUUUCGAAAUCCGAUCUUCGCUGAAAACCCCCAAUAUUUGAUGAAGAACGAGUGAACCCAUGUUGGCAGAAUCGAAACGGUGCUACGUAUUAAGCCACCGAUGUGUGUUAAUCGUACCGAUGCUGACUAUGCACUAGCAGUUAUCGAUUACUGCUGCGAUCAGUACAUGAAGAAACGGAAGCGC